rnacentral:snRNA from 1 species
GAAUGUGGUAGGAUGAUCUGACUUGAUCGUGAAGGUUGAUUCUGCUGAUCUGGCUGGUUGUGAGUGUCCCUUUCCUCUCUCAAUGCUCUGUGUGCAGCCCUCCCAAAGCUGUACACUUAGUUGAAGAGGAGAACCUUCCCCCAAUGGAGGAGGAUUAUUCUUGAGUCAAAGGUAUAUGUAUAGCUGUAAAUCUCCUCCCCCAGAAUGUCCAAAUAAGUUCUCAAGAAUGUGGUAGUUAAUAUUGAUUAGACAGAGAGGUAAAGCACACCUCUGCGUGUUUCUGUGAGGGUGUCUCUAGAG